rnacentral:rRNA from 1 species
UACGAAGGGGGCUAGCGUUGCUCGGAAUUACUGGGCGUAAAGGGUGUGUAGGCGGAUACUUAAGUCGGGGGUGAAAGCCCAGGGCUCAACCCUGGAAUAGCCUUCGAUACUGGGUAUCUUGAGUUCGGGAGAGGUAAGCGGAACUCCGAGUGUAGAGGUGAAAUUCGUAGAUAUUCGGAAGAACACCAGUGGCGAAGGCGGCUUACUGGCCCGAUACUGACGCUGAGGUGCGAAAGCGUGGGGAGCAAACAGG